UGCUGACGAGUGGCGAACGGGUGAGUAAUACAUCGGAACGUGCCUAGUAGUGGGGGAUAACUACUCGAAAGAGUAGCUAAUACCGCAUGAGAUCUACGGAUGAAAGCAGGGGAUCGCAAGACCUUGUGCUACUAGAGCGGCUGAUGGCAGAUUAGGUAGUUGGUGGGAUAAAAGCUUACCAAGCCGACGAUCUGUAGCUGGUCUGAGAGGACGAUCAGCCACACUGGGACUGAGACACGGCCCAGACUCCUACGGGAGGCAGCAGUGGGGAAUUUUGGACAAUGGGCGAAAGCCUGAUCCAGCAAUGCCGCGUGCAGGAUGAAGGCCUUCGGGUUGUAAACUGCUUUUGUACGGAACGAAAAGCUUUGGGUUAAUACCCUGGAGUCAUGACGGUACCGUAAGAAUAAGCACCGGCUAACUACGUGCCAGCAGCCGCGGUAAUACGUAGGGUGCAAGCGUUAAUCGGAAUUACUGGGCGUAAAGCGUGCGCAGGCGGUUUUGUAAGACAGAGGUGAAAUCCCCGGGCUCAACCUGGGAACUGCCUUUGUGACUGCAAGGCUAGAGUACGGCAGAGGGGGGUGGAAUUCCGCGUGUAGCAGUGAAAUGCGUAGAUAUGCGGAGGAACACCGAUGGCGAAGGCAACCCCCUGGGCCUGUACUGACGCUCAUG
rnacentral:rRNA from 1 species